CUGCUUCCGCCACCUCCUCCCGCAGCCGGUCGGGCGUGUUUCCGAGCCCCGGGACUCCGGGCUACCGGAACGGUGGUUCCAUGGCUUACCAGAAGGGGUGGAGCUCGGAGAGGGUGCCACUGCCAGCGAAUUCCAGCCGGAGAUAUGUGGGCGGCGGGGGCAGUGCGCUGCUUCCCUUCAAUAAUGGGAGGGCAUUGCCGUCGAAAUGGGAUGAUGCUGAGAAGUGGAUCUGCAGUCCGGUUUCUGGGGAUGGGCCCAGGAGGCCCUUGGUGCCGCCACCGCAUCAUCGGCGGCCUAAGUCAAAGAGUGGCCCCCUCGGGCAACCAGGCAG
rnacentral:misc_RNA from 1 species